GACGAACGCUGGCGGCGUGCUUAACACAUGCAAGUCGAACGAUGAAGCUGGAGCUUGCUCCGGUGGAUUAGUGGCGAACGGGUGAGUAACACGUGAGCAAUCUGCCCUUGACUCUGGGAUAACUGCGGGAAACUGUAGCUAAUACCGGAUACGAGGCUCGAAGGCAUCUUCGGGUCUGGAAAGAAUUUCGGUCAAGGAUGAGCUCGCGGCCUAUCAGCUUGUUGGUGAGGUAAUGGCUCACCAAGGCGACGACGGGUAGCCGGCCUGAGGGGGUGACCGGCCACACUGGGACUGAGACACGGCCAAGACUCCUACGGGAGGCAGCAGUGGGGAAUAUUGCACAAUGGGCGAAAGCCUGAUGCAGCAACGUCGCGUGAGGGAUGAAGGCCUUCGGGUUGUAAACCUCUUUUAGCAGGGAAGAAGCGAAAGUGACGGUACCUGCAGAAAAAGCACCGGCUAACUACGUGCCAGCCGCCGCCGUAA
rnacentral:rRNA from 1 species